rnacentral:rRNA from 1 species
UGCCAGCCGCCGCGGUAAUACGGGGGGAGCAAGCGUUGUCCGGAAUCACUGGGCGUAAAGGGCUCGUAGGCGGGCCAUUAAGUCAGAAGUGAAAUUUACUCGCUUAACGAGUAACCUGCUUUUGAUACUGAUGGUCUUGAAACACAAAGAGGAGAAUGGAAUUCCAGGUGUAGCGGUGAAAUGCGUAGGUAUCUGGAAGAACACCGGUGGCGAAGGCGGUUCUCUGGUUGUUGUUUGACGCUAAAGAGCGAAAGCGUGGGUAGCGAACAGGAUUAGAUG